GCUGUCAAAGACAAUGACUCAUGGGUAAUUUGGCUGACAGGUCAUUCCAGGCGAACAGAGACCAUUAGCGUGAGGCGUGUUAAAUGACGCCCGUCUCUAUGGGUCUCUCCUGACAGACUGCUCCGUCCCCCCUGUCUCUCUGCUUGGUCAGUGGAGCAGUUUGCUUCAGUCCCACGGCGAGAACCCGUCUCCUGGUUCACUACUGCGCUUGAUCAUCUUUAAUCGACUGGCGUUUCUCAGGCGAGCGCUGGGAGGAGUCUGCCUCAUCACUCAUCCUCAACAGGACACUGAAGGAGAGAAAGACUGGAGAAGAGAAGUUCAUGCUGAAGGUCGUGCGGUAAGAAAUGACUGUCGUUCAUCAUCUCCUCCUCCUCCUCCUCAUUAUUAAUGCUGACGGAGCAGAUUGAAGAGAGAAGGUGCUGCGUGCUGUGCCUUCACCAACUUUUUGGACAUUUGAAAGUUCAGCAGUGCAGUAAUAAAGGUAGCGAUGGAGAAAGAGAGUGUGGGCUGUGAUUGGCCGGCCCCUGGACGAACACUUCCUGGGCAGGGAGCCGAGCGUUGGCGCGGCACCAGACUGAUAGAAACCCUGCGGCCACUGAACAGACUUCAUCCUAAUGACUGGAGGUGAAACGAUUAGAGAGGGAGGCGAGCGGGAGGCUGCUGAUGUUACUGCUGAUUUUCCUGAUGAGGGUUAGCGUGGACAGGUCCAUGAGAGCAACAACAUUCACUUCACUUUCAUUCUACUCACUUCAUUUCUCUGCUAUUUGAUUUUGUUUACAUUUUUACUGGCAUGAGUGUGUUUCAUUACAGCGCAGUUCAGAGGUCCAGAGCUUUUGUGGAUGCUGUAAUGAUCAUCAUGUUUAUCUGAAGUCGGAGGUUGUGUGGAAUGAACCUACAUACAGUAUGUUUGGCAACAUCAACACUUCCUCAUGGUUUAUUUCUCUUAAAGCACAACAAUUUAACCAUUACUGUGUUAUUUACUAAAAAAAAAGACACAUACGUCUUAUUUGUUUCUAGAAUUUCUGAAGCAAGAUAGUUCCUUUUAGUUAGUUAGUUAGUUAGUCUCGAAACUGUAAACUUCUCUUUAUUCUCUCACACGAGGUAAAAAGGUCACAGCUGAGAAACUACCAAGAAGAGUAAACUCCUCUGUCCUGAAGACAUCAGAAGAGUUUAAGUCACAGAUUUUGUUCAUUAACAUUUGGCAGACGCCCUUAUCCAAAGCAAAUUACAUCUAAUCACACUUUAUACAACUGAACAGUUAAGGUUAAGGGCCUUCCUCAGGGGCCCUUGCCUAGUGGAUCUGAGAUUUGAACUCACAUCCUUCUGCUCAGUAGUCCAGCACCUUAACAUCCCCAUAUCCAUCAUAUCAACAGCUACACACUGUGAAUGAGCCGUUGCUAAGGAAACGAUAAGGUAUGAGAGUGAGUACAUUAAUAUAAAGCUGCGCUCCAGUCAGAGAAUUAGAGAGAAUUAAUCACCACCUGAUCCACCAAUCAGAGUCUCAGCAUGUCGGUUUGUAAAUUACAUUUAAUAAGCAGCUUUGUAUUGUUUCCUUUCACUACAGUCAUUACAUCAUCAUUUUAUUUUUAACAGUAAACAAAUCUCUUCCUGCUUCUUUCUCUUUCACUGCAGUGUUUAUUUCAACAUUCCUCUGUGUGUGUGUGUGUGUGUGUGUGUGUGUAGUGAUUUCCUGCCCCAUUUGUGUUGUAAGAGUCAUUGGCAGAACACAAUAUGGAGGAGAAAUCGAUAACCCCGCUCUCUCUGAGAACACUAAACACUCAUGUACGUGUUCUUGCUGUGCGGCUGAAGGCUGUGGAGAAUUCAUUGUGUUGUUUUUUCCCCUUUCUACUUGCUCAGGAUUGUGUGUUAACUGCAUAGCGCGACAGCAGCAUUGCCAUUGUUUGCUCGUGUCCUUGUUAGCGAAACCGAUCGGCACUCGUGGCUUAUUUAUUUGUUUGCGAAAGCUGAUUUGCGUCUGUGUUUAAAUUCGUCUCCACGGGAGAAAAUGAACCUCGGAGCUCCGUCUGAGAGCAGCACGUAGAGGCGACGCAGCGGGGAAGUGCAGCACUCAGUCUGAGAGCCAACACGCAAUUCAGUCUUCAGAGCAGAACAUUCAGAACAUUUACUGUUUCACACACUUCAUCUGAGGGAGAAGGAGAACCGGGCCAACUAGAAACGUAUAAGGAAAAAUAAGAAUUAAUUAAACAAACAAACAAACAAAUAAAUAAAUA